GACGAACUCUGGCGGCGUGCUUAACACAUGCAAGUCGAACGGUAAGGCCCUUCGGGGUACACGAGUGGCGAACGGGUGAGUAACACGUGGGUGAUCUGCCCUGCACUUCGGGAUAAGCCUGGGAAACUGGGUCUAAUACCGGAUAGGACCACUGCCUGCAUGGGUGGUGGUGGAAAGCUUUUGCGAUGUGGGAUGGGCCCGCGGCCUAUCAGCUUGUUGGUGGGGGGAUGGCCUACCAAGGCGACGACGGGUAGCCGGCCUGAGAGGGUGACCGGCCACACUGGGACUGGGAUACGGCCCAGACUCCUACGGGAGGCAGCAGUGGGGAAUAUUGCACAAUGGGCGCAAGCCUGAUGCAGCGACGCCGCGUGAGGGAUGACGGCCUUCGGGUUGUAAACCUCUUUCAGCACCGACGAAGCGCAAGUGACGGUAGGUGCAGAAGAAGGACCGGCCAACUACGUGCCAGCCGCCGCGGUAA
rnacentral:rRNA from 1 species